rnacentral:lncRNA from 1 species
UCAACUAGGACAACAACAAUCAAUCUUUUAGGAAUUGGUCUGUAGUGGUAUUCAACCUUUUUCUUCAAGCUUGAGUGGAUGAUGAUUUUUCUAUUUUUGCAUAUGCUUGAAUGUGAAACAGAACCCUUCUAGUGAUGUCUUUGUAUAAAGCUUCAUCGUGUACAAUUGAUCACAUCACUUGAAGUUAUGUGAGUGCUUUGUUUGGUUAGAGAGUGAGUUGGUUGACAGUGUAUUGCAGUGCGGAAGAAAUAGUAUCGUCAGUCACUUCAGUUCCAGCUGUGUCCACAUGACUUUGUACUGCUACAUUGGAACCACGUGAGCACCAGGUUCUUGAUUGGUUCCUAGCUCCUGAAUCUAUAGGAGCUCAUCCUUAGCUGGGACCCGUUCAAGUUUGCAGCAGUCCAAGUAGGUCAGGUUCCCUAUCUG